GACGAACGCUGGCGGCGUGCCUAAUACAUGCAAGUAGAACGCAGUUGCGAACGGGUGAGUAACGCGUAGGUAACUGCCUCAUCGCGGGGGAAAAAGAUUGAAAACGAUAGCUAACACCGCAUACUGUGAGAUGGACCUGCGGUGGAUUUGCUAGUUGGUGAGGUAAAGGCUCACCAAGGCGGCGAUACAUAGCCGACCCGGGAGGGUGAUAGGCCCAACUGGGACUGGGACACGGGCCAGUAUCCUUCGGGAGGCCGCCAUAGGGGAUCUUGGGAAAUGGUCGGAAGGUUGACCGAGCAAAGCCGCUGGAGUGGAGAAGGUUUUCGGGUCGGUAAGCUUGGUUGUUAGGGAAGCGGUAACUAACCAGAAAGGGACGGCUAACUACGUGCCAGCCGCCGCGGUAAUUC
rnacentral:rRNA from 1 species